rnacentral:rRNA from 1 species
UACGAAGGGUGCAAGCGUUACUCGGAAUCACUGGGCGUAAAGCGUGCGUAGGCGGUUCGUUAAGUCUGCUGUGAAAGCCCUGGGCUCAACCUGGGAACUGCAGUGGAUACUGGCGGACUUGAGGAGAGCAGAGGUGAGUGGAAUUCUCGGUGUAGUGGUGAAAUGCGUAGAUAUCGAGAGGAACACCAGCGGCGAAGGCGGCUCACUGGGCUCCACCUGACGCUGAGGCGCGAAAGCGUGGGGAGCGAACCGG